AUUGAACGCUGGCGGCAGGCCUAACACAUGCAAGUCGAGCGAGCGGCGGACGGGUGAGUAAUGUGUGGGACACUGCGUGAUGGAGGGGGAUAACUACUGGAAACGGUAGCUAAUCGCGCAAACCAUGAGAUGUGCAGAGGGGGGAUUAGCUAGUAGGUGGGGUAAUGGCUCACCUAGGCGACGAUCCCUAGCUGGUCUGAGAGGAUGACCAGCCACACUGGAACUGAGACACGGUCCAGACUCCUACGUGAGGCAGCAGUGGGGAAUAUUGCACAAUGGGCGCAAGCCUGAUGCAGCCAUGCCGCGUGUGUGAAGAAGGCCUUCGGGUUGUAAAGCACUUUCAGCGAGGAGGCGUUACUCGCAGAAGAAGCACCGGCUAACUCCGUGCCAGCAGCCGCGGUAAUUC
rnacentral:rRNA from 1 species